GGAUUAGAAACCCGGGUAGUCCACGCCGUAAACUAUGAGAGCUAGCCGUCGGCAAGUUUACUUGUCGGUGGCGCAGCUAACGCAUUAAGCUCUCCGCCUGGGGAGUACGGUCGCAAGAUUAAAACUCAAAGGAAUUGACGGGGCCCGCACAACCGCGGUGGAGCAUGUGGUUUAAUUCGAAGCAACGCGCAGAACCUUACCAGCCCUUGACAUCCCGGUCGCGGUUACGAGAGAUCGUUUCCUUCAGUUCGGCUGGACCGGUGACAGGUGCUGUAUGGCUGUCGUCAG
rnacentral:rRNA from 1 species